rnacentral:rRNA from 1 species
ACGUGCCCUCUUCUGGGGAAUAGCCACUGGAAACGGUGAUUAAUGCCCCAUACGCCCUUCGGGGGAAAGAUUUAUCGGAGGAGGAUCGGCCCGCGUCUGAUUAGAUAGUUGGUGGGGUAACGGCCUACCAAGUCAACGAUCAGUAGCUGGUUUGAGAGGAUGAUCAGCCACACUGGGACUGAGACACGGCCCAGACUCCUACGGGAGGCAGCAGUGGGGAAUCUUGGACAAUGGGCGCAAGCCUGAUCCAGCCAUGCCGCGUGAGCGAUGAAGGCCUUAGGGUUGUAAAGCUCUUUCGCCAGGGAUGAUAAUGACAGUACCUGGUAAAGAAGCCCCGGCUAACUCCGUGCCAGCAGCCGCGGUAAUACGGAGGGGGCUAGCGUUGUUCGGAAUUACUGGGCGUAAAGCGCACGUAGGCGGAUCAGUCAGUCAGGGGUGAAAUCCCGGGGCUCAACCCCGGAACUGCCUUUGAUACUGCUGGUCUUGAGGUCGAGAGAGGUGAGUGGAAUUCCGAGUGUAGAGGUGAAAUUCGUAGAUAUUCGGAGGAACA